GCGGCCCAAUUAGCUACCGACCGAGUACGCUAAUUCGAGAGAGAUCACGAGGGGGGAUCGAUCGAUGUGGUGGACUGAGAGGACGAGCGGAUCGUUCGCUGACAGAGAGGAGGGGAGACGACGCAGACGAAGAGGCGACCCCGCCCAACGCCCAGGAGACGCAGGCGAUACGACCGCGGAUCAACUUUGUGCGGCAUUCAUGGCGGAUGAUGUGUGCCCCUUGCCAGCGGUGACUAAUGGAUGUCUCUCUGUUUUCUCGUCCUUCUGCUGCCUCAGUUCAGGCACGUGUAUAUAUAUACUUCUUCCUCUACCACUCUCAACUCACCCUUUCCACUCCGGCGAUAGAAUAUCCAUCAGCAUGGUGCUUUGCUAGGUAAAAAAAGCCUUCCAUAAUCGCUUCUCUCGAUCUCCCUACUUUGCUCGUUUGUCUCCGUCCACCCCCAGCACCGCUAUGCUUGUAGCGGAAACCCAAGUGGCAACCGUGUUUGGCAGGUUAACCGGAAACUCCAGAAGUGGCGGUCAUGCCCCCUUCAAUGUCUUUAAGCACAUCCACGGUCCGUCUGCUGUGGUCGCUGCAAUGUGUACCACAAAAGUUAGGUGGUGCUGAAUUCGUUAGAUAAAUUAUUAUUUUUGAAGUGAAUCAGUAAAUCGCUGCGGUGUAAUUUAUGAGGAGUUUCAUUCAACUGAAUUAUAUUUUCAGUUUUGCUAAAGCAUAUCUAGAUGUGCCAUAAGUAUUGUACAUCUAAGUCAUAUGUCAUUGAUUUUACAUUGAGAUUCAUGUGAAUAUUUUUUUCUCUUUUUUUUUCUCUUUAUGCUUGAUUCUUAUAUUUUUUUCCGUGAAUAUGUUUCAGAUUGCAAUGUUCUCCUGCGAGAUAGUUGCAGUCUAUCUUGAGUUUGAUUCUGGGCACUUUAGACAUAAGUUGCUCAAGAAUAUGGUCCGUCUGGGGAGGCCUAAUUCCGGAUAUACACUGCACAAAUCCU